UAGGGAAUCUUGCCACAAUGGACGCAAGUCUGAUGGAGCAACGCCGCGUGAGUGAAGAAGGUUUUCGGAUCGUAAAGCUCUGUUGUUGGUGAAGAAGGAUAGAGGCAGUAACUGGUCUUUAUUUGACGGUAAUCAACCAGAAAGUCACGGCUAACUACGUGCCAGCAGCCGCGGUAAUACGUAGGUGGCAAGCGUUGUCCGGAUUUAUUGGGCGUAAAGC
rnacentral:rRNA from 1 species